rnacentral:rRNA from 1 species
GAAUCUUGCGCAAUGGGCGAAAGCCUGACGCAGCCAUGCCGCGUGAAUGAUGAAGGUCUUAGGAUUGUAAAGUUCUUUCGCCCGUGACGAUGAUGACGGUAACGGGAGAAGACGCCCCGGCUAACUUCGUUCCAGCAGCCGCGGGAAUACGAAGGGGGCUAGCGUUGUUCGGAAUUACUGGGCGUAAAGCGCGCGUAGGCGGCUUUGCAAGCCAGGGGUGAAAUGCCUGAGCUCAACUUGGGAAUUGCCUUUGGGACUGUGAGGCUUUGAGGACUGGAGAGGUGAGUGGAAUUCCCAGUGUAGAGGUGAAAUUCGUAGAUAUUGGGAAGAACACCGGUGGCGAAGGCGGCUCACUGGCCAGUUUCUGACGCUGCAGCGCGAAAGCGUGGGGAUCAAACAGG